AAUUUCUGGUACGGUGCGCCUGGCCCGCUGCCGCAAGGUACGCGAGUGUCGGUGUGCGUCUGCCAUCUUUGUAGGGAAACUCCUCUUUACUGGGGAGUGGAACUACAUCUUUUACUUUGAAAAAAUUAGAGUGUUUAAAGCAGGCUUGCGCUAUGAAUACAUUAGCAUGGAAUAAUAAUUUAGGACUUUGGUCUUAUUUUGUUGGUUUCUAGGACUAAAGUAAUGAUUGAUAGGGACAGUUGGGGGUGCUAGUAUUCAGCGGCCAGAGGUGAAAUUCUUGGAUUCGCUGAAGACUAACUUAUGCGAAAGCAUU
rnacentral:rRNA from 1 species